rnacentral:rRNA from 1 species
UACGUAGGUGGCAAGCGUUGUCCGGAUUUAUUGGGUUUAAAGGGUGCGUAGGUGGUCUAUUAAGUCAGUGCUGAAAUAUCCCAGCUUAACCGGGAGGGUGGCAUUGAUACUGAUAGACUUGAGUAGAGUUGAGGUAGGCGGAAUUGACGGUGUAGCGGUGAAAUGCUUAGAUAUCGUCAAGAACACCAAUAGCGAAGGCAGCUUACUAAGCUCUAACUGACACUGAUGCACGAAAGUGUGGGGAUCAAACAGG